rnacentral:lncRNA from 1 species
UUUGCCCUGGACUAGCUCAAGAUACGUGGUGCUUUCUAAUUGGACCAACCAAAAAGCAGAGAAAUUUUAGAAAUGAGGAAUUCACUAAACUUGUUUGGCCCAAAUUCGCAGCAAUCAGACCCCGCUUCCCCAAUCAUUAUGCCUUUUUCUUUCUGACACUACGGUUCUAGUUCAAGCGAGCUUUUGAGACGUCGAGGUUCUGUUUGGUUUUUUUAGAGGCAUUUAUGGUUUUCUUCGAAAGUUGUCGAGGUAAGGC